AAUUUUGGACAAUGGGGGCAACCCUGAUCCAGCCAUUCCGCGUGAGUGAAGAAGGCCUUCGGGUUGUAAAGCUCUUUUGUCCGGAACGAAACGGGUAGGUCUAACAAGCCUGCCUACUGACGGUACCGGAAGAAUAAGCCCCGGCUAACUACGUGCCAGCAGCCGCGGUAAUACGUAGGGGGCAAGCGUUGUCCGGAUUUACUGGGCGUAAAGAGCGCGUAGGCGGAGAUCUAAGCGUGGCCUGAAAGCCCCCGGCUCAACCGGGGAGUGCGGCUGCGAACUGGGUUUCUUGAGGACGAUAGAGGAGAGUGGAAUUCCUGGUGUAGCGGUGAAAUGCGUAGAUAUCAGGAGGAACACCCGAGGCGAAGGCGGCUCUCUGGGUCGUACCUGACGCUGAGGCGCGAAAGCGUGGGGAGCGAAC
rnacentral:rRNA from 1 species